rnacentral:misc_RNA from 1 species
GAUGAAGAACGUAGUGAAAUGCGAUAAGUAAUGUGAAUUGCAGAAAUCAGUGAAUCAUCGAAUCUUUGAACGCACCUUGCGCCCUUUGGCCAUUCCGAAGGGCAUGCCUGUUUGAGUAUCAUGAACACCUCAACUCUUCAUGGUUUUCCAUGAUGAGCUUGGACUUUGGGGGUCUUGCUGGCCUGUGGGUCGGCUCCUCUCAAAUGAAUCAGCUUGCCGGUUUUUGGUGGGCAUCACAGGUGUGAUAACUAUCUACGCUUGUGGUUUUCCACCAGGGUAACCUUCAGCAGUGGAGGUUCACUGGAGCUUACAAAUGUCUCUCCUCUGUGAGGACAGCCCUUUGAAUGUUUGAUCUCAAAUCAGGUAGGACUACCCGCUGAACUUAAGCAUAUCAAUAAGCGGAGGA